rnacentral:rRNA from 1 species
GAUGAACGCUAGCUACAGGCUUAACACAUGCAAGUCGAGGGGUAACGAGAGGAAAGCUUGCUUUCCUUGUCGACGACCGGCGCACGGGUGAGUAACGCGUAUCCAACCUGCCCCCAACUAGGGAAUAACCUUGCGAAAGUAAGACUAAUACCCUAUAAUUUCCUCAGAUGACAUCUGACGAGGAAUAAAGAUUUAUCGGUUGUGGAUGGGGAUGCGUCUGAUUAGCUUGUUGGCGGGGUAACGGCCCACCAAGGCAACGAUCAGUAGGGGUUCUGAGAGGAAGGUCCCCCAAAUUGGAACUGGGACACGGUCCAAACUACUACGGGAGGCAGCAGUGAGGAAUAUUGGUCAAUGGGCGGAAGCCUGAACCAGCCAAGUAGCGUGCAGGAUGACGGCCCUAUGGGUUGUAAACUGCUUUUAUACAGGAAUAAAGUUAGCCACGUGUGGUUAUUUGUAGGUACUGUAUGAAUAAGGACCGGCUAAUUCCGUGCCAGCCGCCGCUGUAA